rnacentral:rRNA from 1 species
UACGGAGGGGGCUAGCGUUGUUCGGAAUUACUGGGCGUAAAGCGCACGUAGGCGGCUUUGUAAGUUAGAGGUGAAAGCCCGGGGCUCAACUCCGGAAUUGCCUUUAAGACUGCAUCGCUAGAAUUGUGGAGAGGUAAGUGGAAUUCCGAGUGUAGAGGUGAAAUUCGUAGAUAUUCGGAAGAACACCAGUGGCGAAGGCGACUUACUGGACACAGUAUUGACG